rnacentral:sRNA from 1 species
CUAUAGCCCUGAUAGAAGUGGAAAUCCUUUUGUGCCGGUCCCGAGGCUUCGGGAGGCACAAAAGAUUGAAACGGAUAGCAGGAUUAGCU